AACCAGGGUCCGUGUCCGUGUCUGGCUUUCGGCUCCUGCUCUCGGGUCUCCGUUUUCCGUUUUUCAUUUCUCCGGCACUGUUGCGGCUCUGUUAGCCGGCCACCGUAGGCGGAAAUGUUACGGCGCACACACGAAAUGCAUUUUGUAACCCAAUUUCCUACUUCCGGUGUCUUUUCGGCAGCCGCACCACCCACUUGCACCAACGCCCACUGGGCCACCCAUCCGCCCGCUGAGAGACGUGAGCACGUCGGAGAGUGAGCGGAAAUGAGCUUGGCCGGAAAAUUAACCCACACGGCUCUCUCGCACACAAGCAAGCUUUUCCACACAUGUUCGAAUCGGAAAAUUCCGAGCUACUUCUUCGAGCUUUCCCCGAGCUUUUUGCAUUACCAUUCUGACAGCUUUGCGCCCUACCUAACCUCCACCACUUUUUUGUAGUAUAAAAGAGUAUAUGUUAUUCGUAAAUAAAUAUGUUACAUCUAAAAAAAAUAUAAAUUUUUAAGUGUUCUUUAACAACUUUUAACAAUUCAUAAUUUUUAAUAUAUGCAUUGAUC
ensembl:ncRNA lncRNA:CR44628 long non-coding RNA:CR44628